GGGGAUAGCCUUUCGAAAGGAAGAUUAAUACCCCAUAAUAUAUUGAGUGGCAUCACUUGAUAUUGAAAACUCCGGUGGAUAGAGAUGGGCACGCGCAAGAUUAGAUAGUUGGUGAGGUAACGGCUCACCAAGUCAAUGAUCUUUAGGGGGCCUGAGAGGGUGAUCCCCCACACUGGUACUGAGACACGGACCAGACUCCUACGGGAGGCAGCAGUGAGGAAUAUUGGACAAUGGGUGAGAGCCUGAUCCAGCCAUCCCGCGUGAAGGACGACUGCCCUAUGGGUUGUAAACUUCUUUUAUACUGGGAUAAACCUACCCUCGUGAGGGUAGCUGAAGGUACAGUAUGAAUAAGCACCGGCUAACUCCGUGCCAGCAGCCGCGGUAAUACGGAGGGUGCAAGCGUUAUCCGGAUUUAUUGGGUUUAAAGGGUCCGUAGGCGGACUCGUAAGUCAGUGGUGAAAUCUCAUAGCUUAACUAUGAAACUGCCAUUGAUACUGCGGGUCUUGAGUAAAGUAGAAGUGGCUGGAAUAAGUAGUGUAGCGGUGAAAUGCAUAGAUAUUACUUAGAACACCAAUUGCGAAGGCAGGUCACUAUGUUUUAACUGACGCUGAUGGACGAAAGCGUGGGGAGCGAACAGGAUUAGAUACCCUGGUAGUCCACGCCGUAAACGAUGCUAACUCGUUUUUGGGUUUUCGGAUUCAGAGACUAAGCGAAAGUGAUAAGUUAGCCACCUGGGGAGUACGUUCGCAAGAAUGAAACUCAAAGGAAUUGACGGGGGCCCGCACAAGCGGUGGAUUAUGUGGUUUAAUUCGAUGAUACGCGAGGAACCUUACCAAGGCUUAAAUGGGAAUUGACAGGUUUAGAAAUAGAUCCUUCUUCGGACAAUUUUCAAGGUGCUGCAUGGUUGUCGUCAGCUCGUGCCGUGAGGUGUUAGGUUAAGUCCUGCAACGAGCGCAACCCCUGUCACUAGUUGCCAUCAUUCAGUUGGGGACUCUAGUGAGACUGCCUACGCAAGUAGAGAGGAAGGUGGGGAUGACGUCAAAUCAUCACGGCCCUUACGCCUUGGGCCACACACGUAAUACAAUGGCCGGUACAGAGGGCAGCUACUAUGCGAAUAGAUGCGAAUCUCGAAAGCCGGUCUCAGUUCGGAUUGGAGUCUGCA
rnacentral:rRNA from 1 species